GACGAACGCUGGCGGCGUGCUUAACACAUGCCAGUCGAACGGAAAGGCCCUGCUUUUGUGGGGUGCUCGAGUGGCGAACGGGUGAGUAACACGUGAGUAACCUGCCCUUGACUUUGGGAUAACUUCAGGAAACUGGGGCUAAUACCGGAUAGGAGCUCCUGCUGCAUGGUGGGGGUUGGAAAGUUUCGGCGGUUGGGGAUGGACUCGCGGCUUAUCAGCUUGUUGGUGGGGUAGUGGCUUACCAAGGCUUUGACGGGUAGCCGGCCUGAGAGGGUGACCGGCAACAUUGGGACUGGGAUACGGCCCAGACUCCUACGGGAGGCAGCAGUGGGGAAUAUUGCACAAUGGGCGGAAGCCUGAUGCAGCAACGCCGCGUGCGGGAUGACGGCCUUCGGGUUGUAAACCGCUUUCGCCUGUGACGAAGCGUGAGUGACGGUAAUGGGUAAAGAAGCACCGGCUAACUACGUG
rnacentral:rRNA from 1 species